CCUACGGGGAGCAGCAGUGGGGAAUAUUGGGCAAUGGGCGCAAGCCUGACCCAGCAACGCCGCGUGAAGGAAGAAGGCUUUCGGGUUGUAAACCUCUUUUUACAGGGACGAAGCAAGUGACGGUACCUGAGGAAUAAGCCACGGCUAACUACGAGCCAGCAGCCGCGGUAAUACGUAGGUGGCAAGCGUUAUCCGGAUUCACUGGGUGUAAAGGGCGUAGAGGCGGGACUGCAAGUCAGAUGUGAAACCCACGGGCUCAACCUGUGGCCUGCAUUGGAAACUGUAGUUCUUGAGUACUGUAGAGGCAGACGGAAUUCCUAGUGUAGCGGUGAAAUGCGUAGAUAUUAGGAGGAACACCAGUGGCGAAGGCGGUCUGCUGGACAGCAACUGACGCUGAGGCGCGAAAGCGUGGGGAGCAAACAGGAUUAGAUACCCCUGUAGUC
rnacentral:rRNA from 1 species